rnacentral:misc_RNA from 1 species
GGGGAACUUCAACCUACCUCUGGAACUGUUUUUCGUUCAGCUAAGGUUCGAAUAGCUGUCUUUAGUCAGCACCAUGUCGAUGGGUUAGACUUGUCUUCAAAUCCACUUCUUUACAUGAUGCGUUGCUUCCCAGGCGUGCCAGAACAGAAGCUUCGAGCUCACUUAGGUUCAUUUGGUGUAACCGGAAAUCUUGCUCUUCAGC